AGCCCAGAGCCUGAAUCAGUGUGUGUGUUAGUGGAAGCGUCUGGAAAGGCGCGCGAUACAGGGUGACAGCCCCGUACACAAAAAUGCACAUGCUGUGAGCUCGAUGAGUAGGGCGGGACACGUGGUAUCCUGUCUGAAUAUGGGGGGACCAUCCUCCAAGGCUAAAUACUCCUGACUGACCGAUAGUGAACCAGUACCGUGAGGGAAAGGCGAAAAGAACCCCGGCGAGGGGAGUGAAAAAGAACCUGAAACCGUGUACGUACAAGCAGUGGGAGCACGCUUAGGCGUGUGACUGCGUACCUUUUGUAUAAUGGGUCAGCGACUUAUAUUCUGUAGCAAGGUUAACCGAAUAGGGGAGCCGAAGGGAAACCGAGUCUUAACUGGGCGUUAAGUUGCAGGGUAUAGACCCGAAACCCGGUGAUCUAGCCAUGGGCAGGUUGAAGGUUGGGUAACACUAACUGGAGGACCGAACCGACUAAUGUUGAAAAAUUAGCGGAUGACUUGUGGCUGGGGGUGAAAGGCCAAUCAAACCGGGAGAUAGCUGGUUCUCCCCGAAAGCUAUUUAGGUAGCGCCUCGUGAAUUCAUCUCCGGGGGUAGAGCACUGUUUCGGCAAGGGGGUCAUCCCGACUUACCAACCCGAUGCAAACUGCGAAUACCGGAGAAUGUUAUCACGGGAGACACACGGCGGGUGCUAACGUCCGUCGUGAAGAGGGAAACAACCCAGACCGCCAGCUAAGGUCCCAAAGUCAUGGUUAAGUGGGAAACGAUGUGGGAAGGCCCAGACAGCCAGGAUGUUGGCUUAGAAGCAGCCAUCAUUUAAAGAAAGCGUAAUAGCUCACUGGUCGAGUCGGCCUGCGCGGAAGAUGUAACGGGGCUAAACCAUGCACCGAAGCUGCGGCAGCGACGCUUAUGCGUUGUUGGGUAGGGGAGCGUUCUGUAAGCCUGUGAAGGUGUGCUGUGAGGCAUGCUGGAGGUAUCAGAAGUGCGAAUGCUGACAUAAGUAACGAUAAAGCGGGUGAAAAGCCCGCUCGCCGGAAGACCAAGGGUUCCUGUCCAACGUUAAUCGGGGCAGGGUGAGUCGACCCCUAAGGCGAGGCCGAAAGGCGUAGUCGAUGGGAAACAGGUUAAUAUUCCUGUACUUGGUGUUACUGCGAAGGGGGGACGGAGAAGGCUAUGUUGGCCGGGCGACGGUUGUCCCGGUUUAAGCGUGUAGGCUGGUUUUCCAGGCAAAUCCGGAAAAUCAAGGCUGAGGCGUGAUGACGAGGCACUACGGUGCUGAAGCAACAAAUGCCCUGCUUCCAGGAAAAGCCUCUAAGCAUCAGGUAACAUCAAAUCGUACCCCAAACCGACACAGGUGGUCAGGUAGAGAAUACCAAGGCGCUUGAGAGAACUCGGGUGAAGGAACUAGGCAAAAUGGUGCCGUAACUUCGGGAGAAGGCACGCUGAUAUGUAGGUGAAGUCCCUCGCGGAUGGAGCUGAAAUCAGUCGAAGAUACCAGCUGGCUGCAACUGUUUAUUAAAAACACAGCACUGUGCAAACACGAAAGUGGACGUAUACGGUGUGACGCCUGCCCGGUGCCGGAAGG
rnacentral:rRNA from 1 species